rnacentral:rRNA from 1 species
AGUGAACGCUGGCGGUAGGCCUAACACAUGCCAGUCGAACGGCAGCACAGUAAGAGCUUGCUCUUACGGGUGGCGAGUGGCGGACGGGUGAGGAAUACAUCGGAAUCUACUUUUUCGUGGGGGAUAACGUAGGGAAACUUACGCUAAUACCGCAUACGACCUACGGGUGAAAGCAGGGGAUCUUCGGACCUUGCGCGAUUGAAUGAGCCGAUGUCGGAUUAGCUAGUUGGCGGGGUAAAGGCCCACCAAGGCGACGAUCCGUAGCUGGUCUGAGAGGAUGAUCAGCCACACUGGAACUGAGACACGGUCCAGACUCCUUCGGGAGGCAGCAGUGGGGAAUAUUGGACAAUGGGCGCAAGCCUGAUCCAGCCAUACCGCGUGGGUGAAGAAGGCCUUCGGGUUGUAAAGCCCUUUUGUUGGGAAAGAAAAGCAGCAGGUUAAUACCCCGCUGUUCUGACGGUACCCAAAGAAUAAGCACCGGCUAACUUCGUG